ACUGCCUGGUGGAAGUCGAACACUGGUGCCAGCAGCCAGCACAUGGGCAGGAGAGAAGCAGAGGGCAGAGGUUUGUGAGGGACUUCAUUUUCUGAAUUGUGUCAGGAGAAUGGGUCAGCGGAAGGGUGCCUGGCUGGGAGCAGAACCGGGGUCCCAGAGUCCCAGGCUCCACAAAGGGGUAACCAAGUAUGACCCCAGCUUUGACCUAGCUGCUACCCUGAGGCUCAUUAAAAAGAGUAAGGCUCAGCAGCCUAUGGUGCCAGGUAGGCGCUCCAGGGUCUCCUGAGCUCUGUACUAUGGAAAGGGCAAGAAGGGGCCAACCCCAGGGCCCCAUGGGAAGCUUACCAAGGUGAGCCCGGUCAGAGAUGAUGAGACGCUUCUCCCAGUCCUUCAGCCCUGCAGGGAUGUGGCAGAGAAGACAGCACACUGUGGGCACUCUUGGGUGACCCUCCCCCUCAGUACUGUUGGCUUAAGUGUUCUGAAGGAGCACACACAGUGCACAGCAGCCACAGCCCUGCCCUGGCACUGCCUGCUGAGCUCCCCGGACUGCAACCCAAGAGACACCACACCCAUGCUAGAGCUCCUUUCGCUUCAGCCUCUUCCUCCGUGUCCUGCACUUUGACAAUUUAGGGGCCUGUGAUGCUGUAGGCAGAGCUUAGAAAUUCUGAGCUGCCCAGCUUCUGCUGCUUAGUGAGGGCUCUGCUGUCUGCUCUGCAGAGCUAGCGCACAGUGAGUGGGCCUGUGGGGGAGGGGGCAAGGUCACAGAUGACCUACCUUUCUUCUCGUUCUUCUCUGCCUCUUCAAACAAGCCCGGCAAGUGGAUGACCACGCCAUUGCCUGCAACACAGGGCACAGACUCAUGACUAUUUACAUUUCAAAUGGUAUGGGUCAACAGCAAGGGCAAACAACUCAAGGACCCAGACCAUGGGGAUGGAUGUGGUCACUCGAUCGCAUGCAGCAGCAUGGUGACACUUGGGGACACUGGGCUCAGACAUGGAAGAUAUGACCCCCUACAGCCCACUAAGAUCCUAUUUAAGUUCCUGCCUUGGCUUCCCUCAACAAUGAACUGUGACCUGGGAAUGUAAGCCAAAUAAACUCUCUCCUCCCCAA
rnacentral:lncRNA from 1 species